rnacentral:tRNA from 1 species
UAUAUUUUAAUGUAAGGAGCAUAUAAAUUUUUGAAAUUUUUAGAAAUAGUUUAAUUCUAUUAAAUAUAA